rnacentral:rRNA from 1 species
UACGUAGGGGGCUAGCGUUGCUCGGAAUCACUGGGCGUAAAGGGUGCGUAGGCGGCUCUUUAAGUCAGGGGUGAAAUCCUGGAGCUCAACUCCAGAACUGCCUUUGAUACUGAAGAUCUUGAGUUCGGGAGAGGUGAGUGGAACUGCGAGUGUAGAGGUGAAAUUCGUAGAUAUUCGCAAGAACACCAGUGGCGAAGGCGGCUCACUGGCCCGAUACUGACGCUGAGGCACGAAAGCGUGGGGAGCAAACAGG